AUUGAACGCUGGCGGCAUGCUUUACACAUGCAAGUCGAACGGCAACAGGCCUUCGGGUGCUGACGAGUGGCGAACGGGUGAGUAAUGCAUCGGAACGUGCCCAGAGGUGGGGGAUAACGCAGCGAAAGCUGUGCUAAUACCGCAUGUGAUCUGAGGAUGAAAGCGGGGGACCAAGCAGCAAUGUUUGGCCUCGCGCCUCUGGAGCGGCCGAUGUCAGAUUAGGUAGUUGGUGGGGUAAAGGCCUACCAAGCCGACGAUCUGUAGCUGGUCUGAGAGGACGACCAGCCACACUGGGACUGAGACACGGCCCAGACUCCUACGGGAGGCAGCAGUGGGGAAUUUUGGACAAUGGGCGCAAGCCUGAUCCAGCAAUGCCGCGUGCGGGAAGAAGGCCUUCGGGUUGUAAACCGCUUUUGUACGGAACGAAAAGGCUCUGGCUAAUACCUGGGGCUGAUGACGGUACCGGAAGAAUAAGCACCGGCUAACUACGUG
rnacentral:rRNA from 1 species